CAUUGGAAAUUCUUUUUAAUGCAUUUUCUUUUUCUUUUUCAUUUCCCUUGUAUUCAUGCAAAUAAAGGCCACAGCAGUUGAAGUGCUACAAGCAUUAAAGGGAAAAUUGGGCCCUCUUUCUUGUCAUUGAAAAAUACAAAGGGCCAAUUUUGUCAUUUCAGAGUAGCCCUCUUUCCCGUUGGAAGAGAAGACGUCAAAAGCACAUGGAUGUUCUUCUCAUGUCCUCAUGUUGGAAAGGAAGCUGCAAUUGACUUUAUGUUCUAUUUUUAUUUUAUUUUUCCUAAUGACAGCAUGCAUUGAUUGAUGAAUCUUUCUCCAAUCAAACGUUAUAGACUCUAGUUUCAUUCCGCCGCUGAUUUACACAUGCAUGGGGAGUUCACGCGACAUUGCCAUCGGGACCAGUAGCAGUUGUGUCUCUCCUUCUGGGGACUUUGCUACAAAAUGAGGUUGAUUCUGUUAAAAAUCCAGAUGAGUAUCUCCGGCUUGUAUUCACUGCAAUAUUCUUUGCUGGGAUCACUCAAGUCACACACUUGGAUUUUUUAGGUAAUUGAACGAUCUGUUUUACAAGUUUUCCAUACCCUUGUUAACUUAAAAGGUCGGUAUUCUUUGUUAUAACAUUGACGAUUCUGGUAAUGUUUACAUAUUAGGAUUCUUGAUCGACUUCCUAUCUCAUGCGGCCAUUGUUGGGUUCAUGGGUGGGGCAGCCAUCACAAUUGCUCUGUAACAGCUCAAAGGUUUCCUUGGCAUAAAGAAUUUUACUAAGAAGACGGAUAUAAUUCCGGUUUUGCAUUUGGUAUGGAGUUUUGUACAUCACAGGUGGAAUUGGUAGAAAAUCCUCAUAGGAUCAGUCUUCUUGGUUUUCCUUCUAGUUACCAAAUACAUUGGGAAGAAGAAGAAGAGCCUUUUCUAGGUGCCCGCGAUCGCCCCUUUGAUCUCUGUUAUUCUCUUGACCUUUUUCGUGUAUAUUACACCUGCAGAAAAGCAUGGUGUUAAAAUUGGAAGUUUCUGAACUUUGUAGAGUUAACAUCUCUAUUUUAUCUAAUAUUAGUCAACUAAUAGUGCCGCAAAUGUCUGAAAGGUGAAAGACAUACAAAGGGGUAUAAAUCUGUCAUCCUUGGACCAAAUUCAUUUCAGUGGUGAAUUUGCUACGAAGGGUUUCAGAAUUGGUGCAGUGGCUGGUAUGAUAGCAUUAACUGUAUGCCUACUCCACACACAUAAAGAAUCCUAAUUUUUAAGACAUGCUGCUUGCAAACAUCCAUCUGCAAAUGCAAGACAAGUAGUCAAACGCAUGUGAGAUUCGGGCCCUUCAUAAGGUAGGCCCCAAGGUGAA